AGGGGAGUAGGGGAAAGGAGUGGUGAGAAAAGGGGAACAUAUGAUAGCCGGCAAUAUACCAGCAAGUAUAGAGCAAAACAAGGAAUUUAGUUUUGAAAACUAAUAGAGAUAACACAGAUACUACUACUAUACAUUCCUUUAUAUAAGCAAAAGCUGCUUAGUACUCAUUGUUUCUAUGUAAAACAGUAGAGCUAGUAGGUAGUUCUAUUUGACCAAGCAUCAGAAUUGUAAGUUGGUGAUUCCUCAUUCCUAAAGAGAAAAAUUGCUUACCUAUAUAUUUCUGACAGGAUUCCAUUUCAUCCUAAAGACAUAUUAUAUAGUACUGUACUUUAA